rnacentral:lncRNA from 1 species
CUUUUUUUUUUUUUUUUUUUUUUUUUUGCUUUUAGGGCUACACCUGCGGCAUGUGGAGGUUCCCAGGUUGGGGGUCAAAUCAGAGCUACAGCUGCCGGCUUACACCACAGCCACAGCAACACCAGAUCCGAGCCACAUCUGCGACCUACACCAUAGCUCACAGCAAUGUCAGAUCCUUAACCCACUAAGCAAGGCCAGGGAUCGAACCCGCAACCUCAUGGUUCCUAGUCGGAUUCAUUUCCACUGAGCCAUGACAGGAACUCCAGGGAGGAGGAAUUUAAUCACACAGUAAGGAUGGUCAGACUACAGUGGUGGGCUAUUCUGAUAAACUGACUUAGCAUGGUUCUUGCUCAAAUGGGAUUCUCCAAGGACAGAGAGGGAGCCCCCAGGUUCCCAUAGCAGAAGGCUCAGAGGAGCCUGACUGACUGAAGUCAGAUUGAAGAGAAUCUCUGUCAUCAUUCAUUCUCCACUAAAGAGUCAGGACCAGAAACCACCAAGAUGAACCUAGAACAUAUUCUUUUUUUUUUUGUCUUUUUAGAGCCACACCUGCAGCAUAUGGAGAUUCCCAGGCUAGGGGUCGAAUCAGAGCUGUUGCUGCCGGCCUACACAAGAGCCACAGUAACACAGGAUCCCAGCCUCGUCUGCGACCUACACCGCAGCUCACAGCAACACUGGAUCCUUAACCCACUGAGCAAGGCCAGGGAUCGAACCCGCAACCUCAUGAUUCCUAGUCAGAUUCGUUUCUGCUGCACCAUAACGGGAACUCCAAGAACAUGUUCUUGUGUGAGCAGAUCAGGAAGUGCCCAAAGAACAAUAGGGACGUGUCAAAAAGAUGCAGAGGCAGGACUGAACGGGCUCCUGUGGACCAGAUCUGUGCUGAUUUGAGCAUCAGGAAAAAUAAUGAUAAUAAUGAGUCAUAACCUAGGAAACCACAAGUCCACACAUAUGUUAAUUGAUUAAUUACAUUAAUUAGUUAUAUUUACUUGUAUAUUUAGAAUUAAUUAUUAACCAUAAUUAUUUGAUGAGUAACUGGUUAGUUACACAGUUUCAAAGGACCUCCCGUGAAACACGGAAUAAUUAGAAACAAAGACUCACCUCAGGUGGAGAUGCUUGGCAGACAGACUUUAAUCAAAGGAUAGGUUCCAUCAGUGAUGGAACAAAGAGAAAACUGUGCAGCAAUGAGAACAUGGCACCACUUCCAUUCCUACCAAGAUUCAGAUCCUGAAGCAAAGCAUGAGGCAACACCAAAAACCUCAAAUUGAGGGACAUUCUAUAAACAACAGAGUCUGUGCUGCUGAAAAGCACCCAGGUAAUGUAUGCCAAUAAAAGACUGAGAAAUGCUUCCCAGGCAGGGGGACUGAAGAGAUGUGACAAUUAAAUGGGACGCAUGAUCCUGUACCGGGACCUUUCUUUCUUUCUUUCUUUUUUGGCCGCACCUGUGGCACUUGGAAUUCCCGGGCCAGAGAUCGAUCCAAGCCAGAGCUGGAACCUACGCCACAACUACAGCAGUGCUGGAUCCUUAACCCACUGCACUAGGCCAGGGAUCAAACCAGUGCCUCCACAGAGACAAGUCAGAUCAUGAACCCCCUGCACCACAGUGAGAAUGCCCCCUUUUGCUACAACGGACAUUACUGGGGAGGCUGGGGACACCAGGGCUGGGUUGGAACAGGACAGACUGACUGCAUUUGAUGGUCGUGUUGGAAGAGAACAUCCUUGUGUGUAGAAAAUACACACCAAAGUAUCCAGGGGUAUGGCCAUCACGUCGGCACUGUAUUCUCUAGUGGUUCUGGAAAAACAUCUAUACCGUACUUGCCACUUUCUGCAAAAGUCUGAGGACGUUUCUAAAGAAUCAGUCUUCCGCAGAUUGCAGGUCUCAGAGAUGGCAGGGAACUCAAGAGAUCAGACAGUCUGUCCCUUCCCUGGGGUCCUGGAAGGGUUUUCUUGCCCCCAUUUCACUGAAGAGAUGGUUGAGACAGAGCAGGUUGUGCAGCCAGCCUUUGGUGGCUUAUAAAUGGAGCUGGAGGAGGGAAGAGGUGGCCAGAGACCAAUCACAGAACAGCGCUGGCCCCUCCCCGUUUCCAUGGAGCCCUCAGGCCCCCUGCCCUGCCCCAUGCAGUCCUUUCCUGACCAAGAAAAUGCCACAUUGAAAGCAGAAAAGAAGAGUUCCUGCUGUGAUGAAACGGGAUUGGCAGCACCUUGGGAGUCCCAGGACACAGGUUCAAUGCCCAGGCCAGCAGAGUGGAUUAAGGAUAGAGCAUUGCCACAGCUGUGGCUUAGAUCUGAUCCCUGGACUGGGAACUCCGUAUGCUGCAGUGAGGCCAAAAAAAAAAAAAAAAAAAAAAAAGGCAAUAAAGCAGAAAUGAAAAAGUAAUAGGAAUUGGGUAUGGACGUUUCGGAUGGAUGGUGAGGGUUGAGGACCUUCUGCCCGUCUUCAAGGUCCUCUUAAAAAAGCUUUCACCUGGGGAGAGUUCCCUCAGUGGCUCAGUGGUUAACAAACCCAGCUGGUAUCCCUGAGCACACAGGUUCAAUCCCUGGCCUUGCUCAGCAGGUUAAGGAUCCAGCGUUGCCUUGAGCUGCCGUGUAGGUCAAGGGCGAGGCUCGGACUCCACGUUGCUGUGGCUGUGGGGUGUGCUGGCGGCUGCAGCUCCAAUUCGACCCCUAGCCUGGCAACUUCCAUUCGCCACAGGUGCGGCCCUGAAAAGACAAAAAAAAAGCUUCCACUGCCGCCCAUUCAGGCCCCUGAUGCCCAUGGGGGAGGGGGUCAGGAGAGGAGGAAUCCCUUGGGAAAAGCCUUCUCCGGGAGUCAGGUAGACACUACCAAAGAAACGGGAUUGGUGGGAAGAGAGAACAAGUCAGAGAUGUUUGUUUCAGGGCAGGCGUCUCAGGAGGAAGCAAACAUGGAGAGAGAGGAGGAGACAUGGGUGCCAUGGGAGGAAGGCUGCCCGCCCCGCCCUGGCCCUUGACCAUGAGCGGCUGCCCUGUCUGCGCCUGGAGGGGUCAGGCCCCACUUCCUCUCACUGCACACAGCCCAAAUGGAGCUGGACAAUGGAAUGCGGGGCUUGUCCUCUAAAAGGAGAAAUAACCACAGCUGCCAAGGUCCCGUGGCUGGGAUGCGACAACACAGGCGGGCUGGCUCCAGAAACACGGACGUGACACCAGGCCGGAGAAUCUUACAUCUUGUUCCCCUGAAGUCACACCACUUGGUGCAUCAAAUCAAAGAGAGCGGUCAUCUCUAGAAAGGACGAUCUGCCUUAAGGUGGAAGAGAGGGCAUUUUCCCAGGUUCGUGGGGACAAAGCCCUGUGGACAGCAGUCACGGGCAUUUCUGUUUUCUCUUCUGGAGAAACUGGGCCAGGGCCACUCCACCACCUGGUCAUCAGAGUCAGAACCAGAACAUGACUUUUCCUCCCCCACCUGCUGUUUUUACCCAGAGAACCUCGGUCUGAAUGACACAGAGCCAGGGCUGGCCCAUUGCGCUAGAACAGUGACCGGUCAGCCUGCCUGAAACAGGUAAUAGGCUAGCAGGCGAGGAGGUUGCCUGGAACAGUCUUGUCCUCUGUGUCCCUACAAACUCACCCCAUCAGUUUAUUCCCAUGAGGUGUGGCGCGUGUAGACCCUACAGCAUGGUGUUUCAUCCACGUGAGGAAUCAUAAACUCUACACCCCAAGGGUACUUGGGGAGUCCAUCUUUGAGCUGCAUUCUUGGGAUAUCAACCUGCCUGAUGACCAAAGAGAUUCACCUAAUCUUGUUUUAAACAAGAUGGAAAUCUGCACCUCGCUCGUGGAAAAGUUCAAAUGCACAGGCAGAAAUAGCACGGCGGCUGCACCACCAUCUGGGAUCCAGGCCCCGGUAAACCAUCCGCUCUGCCAUCCUCAACAUGUCCUUCCAUCUCGUGGCCCAGAAUGGCUACUCCAGUACCUGCCAUCAUGUUUACAUCCCAGCCAUGAGAAGGGUGGCGUGAUGAAAGGCAAGGACACCCCACCUCCUCUGAAGGACAGGACUCAAAAUUUGCACACACCUCACUUUCGUACACAUUCCAUUAGCCAGAACUUUGUCACAUAGUCACAGCCAGCUAAGAGCAAGGCUACGAACCUAGCAACGUAAGCACUACGUGCUGUGUGAUGAUGACGGUACCAUGUAGCAAAUGCACACUGGGGCACCGACCAGCAAUUCUGCCACAGGAGUAAUGCAUUUGAGCUGCUCAGAACUAAGAGGAAAGUCUUUUUCUCCAGCGCUAGACUUUCAGGUAUAAACCAGACCCAGUUUUCUCUGCUCAGAAGUGCACGCUGGGCCUGGGCCACUAGGCUGCUGUCCGCCCCUCGGCCUCUCUCGGGAAUCUGUCCUAACAUUGCACACUCUCCCUGAUGUCUCUUCUGCAUCCUUUCUGCUUUGGGCUUGACCCUGGGCCCCUGCUCUGUCAUCCAGUGGGCUGGGGAAGUCACUAGGGCACCUCCUUUUGGACAGUGAGGGUGACGAUAGAGGGGUGGCCCCAUGCGAAGCAAGCCUCUCUUGGCCAAGGGUGGAUCCUGAGCCCGCCCGCCCCACUGGCAUGUGGGGAAAGGUGAAAAUCAUGCUCACCCAUGUGUGGGUCUAGUGUGGGCAGCAGAUGCCCGAAAACAGCAGGCAUACCUGCCCUCGGGCCGGGCUGAGGGGCCGGUUGCACACAUGCCUGGCAGCCGCUUUCCUGACUUUCCUUCUUGGCUGAGCCGUCUGGAGCAUCCUUCUGCCCCGUGGUGAAGGAAGCACCACAUGGUCUGAUACGAGGGCCCUUCGGCAGAAGGUCAGAGACAUGGAAUCUCACAGUCUUAUGUUUAAAAGCUCAGAGACCUGGAGGGCAGUGCAGCCUGGUGGUGAAAUACAAGGGCUCUAAAAACUCCUAGACUCCAGUUGGGGCUCCAGCAUUUAUUAGCUUGGGACAGGAUGAGCUACCUGGUGACUCUACAUCUGGGUUUCCCAUCUAUAAAACGGAGAUCACUGUCGGGGGAGGGGGCAGUGAGUCAAAGUGAGCUGGCCCUUGUCAUCAGCCACCCCUGCUCCUUAACCUCUUGGAGCCUCAGCUUCCUCAUGCGUGUGAGCCAGGAAAACUUCUUCACCCAGCAUGGGACACUGAGGGUAAAUGUCUGGCAAUUCUAGAAGGUUCUCUGUGUGUGCACGUUCUUCUUCCUUCUCUGCUUUCCUGGGUCUGGCUUCUCUACAAAUAGAAGGGAGACAAAUGAUUAUCCCCACCUGUGCCCCGGAGAAUUCACACAGCUCUCAAUCCAGAGAUGGGGUCCGAGAGUGCCUAGCUUGUCUGCUUGGCUUUCCUGCCCUUGAUGCUAUGUUCUGGUCAACCAUGACCCACAUGAGUGACACGCCACAGCCUGAGGACACAGGACAGAGGAAGGCAGGCGGGGUGCCCAGUACACACUAGAACCAAAGGCUUUGGGGGCCAGUGACCCAGGAAGCCCUACAGCCCAUCCUUCAGUCAAAAGGAUGUCAUUGUUAUCAGCCGCAGCCCCCGGGGGCUGAGGGCUCCGGACCAGAUUUCAAGACGGAAGAGGAGGGCUUCAGAAGGGUGGCACCAGUGCCCCUGAGGGCGGGCUCUAGGAGGCUGUCCUUGACAAAACCCGUCUGUCCCCUUAGUCACCCACCUCAUCUGCAAUGCCCCUCAUCUC